AACGUAGGUGGCAAGCGUUAUCCGGAUUUACUGGGCGUAAAGGGUGUGCAGGCGGGGGAGCAAGUGGGGUGUGAAAUCUCCAGGCUUAACCUGGAGGGGUUAUGCCAGACUGCUGCUCUAGAGGACGAGAGAGGGGGGUGGAAUUCCGGGUGUAGUGGUGAAAUGCGUAGAGAUCCGGAGGAACCCCAGAGGCGAAGGCGGCCCCCUGGCUCGUACCUGACGCUCAGCCACGAAAGCAUGGGGAGCGAACGGG
rnacentral:rRNA from 1 species